rnacentral:rRNA from 1 species
UACGGAGGGAGCUAGCGUUAUUCGGAAUUACUGGGCGUAAAGCGCACGUAGGCGGCUUUGUAAGUAAGAGGUGAAAGCCCAGAGCUCAACUCUGGAAUUGCCUUUUAGACUGCAUCGCUUGAAUCAUGGAGAGGUCAGUGGAAUUCCGAGUGUAGAGGUGAAAUGCGUAGAUAUUCGGAAGAACACCAGUGGCGAAGGCGGCUGACUGGACAUGUAUUGACGCUGAGGUGCGAAAGCGUGGGGAGCAAACAGG